GUGUGAAUGUGUGAGUGAGAAUUUUUCAGCUGUGUGAACUAAGCUUUUAACUGUUUGUUGUGGAGAGAGAGAGAGAGAGAGAGAGGAGAAGAANCGUGUGUGAACUAAGUACUUUAACUUAGUUUGUUGUGGAGAGAGAGAGAGAGAGAGAGGAGAGAGAAAAGCAAGCAGGAAUUUUUGGCUUUAUUUUGCUUUUAUACUUCUUUUUCGAACGCUUGUGGGGAAAAAGAAAAGAAAGAAUAUAGAAAAUAAUUGACAACUGCAAUAAAAAUGAAUAAAGAAGAAUAUGUGUUACUAUAAGCUUUUUAAUGAUAACUAUUGUAUGGUGAGACAUUCAGUAAUUAAAAAAAUUAGGGGAUUAUGAAUUAUGAUCGCGCCACAAUGAAUAAAAAUGAAUAAGCUCUUUUUCAGGCUUAUUUUGCAUUUUGAUCAGAAUGAUUAGACUGUAAUUAGUGGGAAUUAUUUUAGCAUUUUGAUAGGAAUGAUUAGAAUGUAAUUAGUGGAGAAUGAUCAUAUUUAGAGUGUUUUUUUUUUUUCUUCCAACAUUCCGAAAAUCACUACCAGACAAUGCCC
rnacentral:lncRNA from 1 species